CAUAGGUUAAUGAGGCGAACCGGGGGAACUGAAACAUCUAAGUACCCCGAGGAAAAGAAAUCAACCGAGAUUCCCCCAGUAGCGGCGAGCGAACGGGGAGGAGCCCAGAGCCUGAAUCAGUGUGUGUGUUAGUGGAAGCGUCUGGAAAGGCGCGCGAUACAGGGUGACAGCCCCGUACACAAAAAUGCACAUGCUGUGAGCUCGAUGAGUAGGGCGGGACACGUGGUAUCCUGUCUGAAUAUGGGGGGACCAUCCUCCAAGGCUAAAUACUCCUGACUGACCGAUAGUGAACCAGUACCGUGAGGGAAAGGCGAAAAGAACCCCGGCGAGGGGAGUGAAAAAGAACCUGAAACCGUGUACGUACAAGCAGUGGGAGCCUCUUAAUGGGGUGACUGCGUACCUUUUGUAUAAUGGGUCAGCGACUUAUAUUCUGUAGCAAGGUUAACCGAAUAGGGGAGCCGAAGGGAAACCGAGUCUUAACUGGGCGUUAAGUUGCAGGGUAUAGACCCGAAACCCGGUGAUCUAGCCAUGGGCAGGUUGAAGGUUGGGUAACACUAACUGGAGGACCGAACCGACUAAUGUUGAAAAAUUAGCGGAUGACUUGUGGCUGGGGGUGAAAGGCCAAUCAAACCGGGAGAUAGCUGGUUCUCCCCGAAAGCUAUUUAGGUAGCGCCUCGUGAAUUCAUCUCCGGGGGUAGAGCACUGUUUCGGCAAGGGGGUCAUCCCGACUUACCAACCCGAUGCAAACUGCGAAUACCGGAGAAUGUUAUCACGGGAGACACACGGCGGGUGCUAACGUCCGUCGUGAAGAGGGAAACAACCCAGACCGCCAGCUAAGGUCCCAAAGUCAUGGUUAAGUGGGAAACGAUGUGGGAAGGCCCAGACAGCCAGGAUGUUGGCUUAGAAGCAGCCAUCAUUUAAAGAAAGCGUAAUAGCUCACUGGUCGAGUC
rnacentral:rRNA from 1 species